rnacentral:rRNA from 1 species
UACGUAGGGCGCAAGCGUUGUCCGGAAUUAUUGGGCGUAAAGAGCUCGUAGGUGGUUUGUCGCGUCUGCCGUGAAAACCCGAGGCUUAACCUCGUGGCUUGCGGUGGAUACGGGGCAGACUAGAGGUAGGUAGGGGAGAACGGAAUUCCCGGUGUAGCGGUGAAAUGCGCAGAUAUCGGGAGGAACACCGGUGGCGAAGGCGGUUCUCUGGGCCUUACCUGACGCUGAGGAGCGAAAGCGUGGGGAGCGAACAGG